UAGGAGGUUUCUAUAGUCUGUAACAUGGUAACUCACCAUCAGGUUGUUGGGAGGUUUCUAUAGUCUGUAACAUGGUAACUCACCAUCAGGUUGAUAGGAGGUUUCUAUAGUCUGUAACAUGGUAACUCACCAUCAGGUUGAUAGGAGGUUUCUAUAGUCUGUAACAUGGUAACUCACCAUCAGGUUGUUAGGAGGUUUCUAUAGUCUGUAACAUGGUAACUCACCAUCAGGUUGAUAGGAGGUUUCUAUAGUCUGUAACAUGGUAACUCACCAUCAGGUUGAU